rnacentral:tRNA from 1 species
GCCGGUUUAGCUCAGUUGGUAGAGCAGUCGCCUUGAAAGCGAAUGGUCAGCGGUUCGAGUCCGUUAACCGGCACCA